rnacentral:lncRNA from 13 species
CUAAGAAUCAGAAUCGCUUAUUCACCAAGUUCAUUUGCAAGUACCAGAUCAUUUUGACUGGCUCUUUCUAGUGAGUAAAGCAGGAUUCCCUUACCGUCCUGGAGGGUGACAACACUGCUGUUAUUCUCAUCCUCUCUCUCCCUCAAAAACACCUUUUCUCUCUUGUCUCCCUUUCCACACCGACAGGGAGACCCAGGAGAAGAGGGCAGUCGAGCAGAAAGUGGAAUCGUCGGAAACCCAGGUCCUCAAGGAAGAAGAGGUCUCCCUGGUCCAAAUGGAACACCAGGGGAUCCAGGAGUUGUAGGCCUCCAAGGAAUUCCUGGCCCUUCUGGACCACAGGGUAUAAGAGGAGACUUGGGCCAGCCUGGACCCAGGGGCCUGCAGGGUUUACCUGGACCUCAGGGCACACCUGGAACUAUGGGUGGCAAAGGUUCAACAGGAAGACGAGGGAUGAAUGGACAGAAGGUGCAUUGCCUUUGUUAGCAAUUUAUGUUAUUCUUCAAUAACACAAACUACAAAGCAAAUCAGGGGGAGAAAAAUGGGUUUA